UACAGAGGCCUCAAGCGUUGUUCGGAUUCAUUGGGCGUAAAGGGUGCGUAGGUGGCAUGGUAAGUUGAAGGUGAAAUCUCGGAGCUCAACUCCGAAACUGCCUUCAAUACUGCUGUGCUCGAGGACUGUAGAGGAGAAUGGAAUUCACGGUGUAGCAGUGAAAUGCGUAGAUAUCGUGAGGAACACCAGAGGCGAAGGCGGUUACCUGGACAAUUACUGACGCUCAGGCACGAAAGCGUGGGGAGCAAAAGGG
rnacentral:rRNA from 1 species